rnacentral:lncRNA from 1 species
CUCACUGAUGCAAUUUCCGUGCAUGUUUUUGUUAUAAAAACAAACGCUCUUUAACAUUUUUCUUGUAUAUUUAAUUAUUUAUGUCACUUUUGCAGGCCUACUCCCCACUGGGUUCUUCUGAAAAGAACCUUGCGCAUGAUCCAGUUGUCGAGAAGGUAGCAUCCACAAAUGUUCAGAUAGAAUAAACAAUAUGAAAAGUUAGCAUGCUCUUCAAUUACGUGUACUCGAUAGCUAAAUACAACCAUAUAAAUGCAGAUAGCCAACAAGCUGAACAAGACUCCAGGUCAAGUGCUCAUCAAGUGGGCUCUCCAAAGGGGAACAAGCGUUAUUCCAAAAUCAACUAAAGAUGAAAGGAUUAAGGAGAAUAUGCAGG